UCGUACUUGUUUAGUUCAAUAACAAACUGGUAUUUAUGUGUGCAUAUUUUGCCAAUAUAAGUCUUGACAUGCACGGUCACACUGCAAGCCGUGUCUCUUUUUCACAUUUUCUUUUGUGUAUUGUUUCUCGCUCUCGCUUGAACGGUACGGACGUGUACUGCCGCUGCGCGUGUGUGUAUUUAACUUGGCUUAAGAAAAAAAUACCUAAUUAUACAUUACACAUGUAUUUUGUUCUGAAUUAUGCAACAAAUUGCAUUCAAUACACAAGUGCAGUGGGUUUGACAUACAUACACAACGUGCGGAAUGGCAGGCGAAUGCUUUAAUAAGCAAAAUACAUAAGUUUAAUUACCGCAUGCUAAAUAUCAAACACAACGACAACAACGAAGCAAAUAUAAUUUAAGACCCAAACAGUGGGCCACAAACACCAAAA